CAGGGCCGCAUCUCAGUGCACACUGAGCCUACAGCCCACAGGGCAACCCCUGGGCCUGGAUGCUGCAGCCCCAGCCCGGCCUCCUCUCCACAGGGUCACGUGUGAGAGACAGCUCGAUCAGGAGCGAGCAGGUGGCCUCUCUUUCUGCCUCCUGCUAGCUACCGUGAAAACAGUCAGCAGAGCCUGCAAACGCGCUCGCCGGGACUUCCUGUGGCCACACGGGUAUCUCCUGGCAAAAUGCUUUUUCAUUACAAAGAGGAGAGGAGUCACUUGAGGCUGCAGGGGGACCCCCGUCAGGGAUCCGGGAGACUUCAUCAGCCCUGCAGCAAAUCCAGAGCGAGGGACACCCAUGGGAUGCAGCUAGAACCCAGCGUCACUUCUGUGAGAGCUCGGCUAAAGAUGCCCAACUUGAACCUAAUCAAGAGGAAACAAAGCCAAAAUGAGGAACACGCUACGAAGCAGCCGGCCUGCAAUCUUCAACAGUGUCAAGCGUGUGAAAGUUGAGAAGGGAGGAGGAAGUGAGGAACUCACCGUUCCAGGCUGAAGGCGACUAGAGGGACGGGACAGCUCAGUGCAAGGCCGUUCCCGGGCCAACGCUCGGCCCUCGAUGGAGCUUGAGGAUUGCCCUAGAGAUGUGUCAACGUCAGGGAUUGUGUUUGUGGGAGAGAAUGUCCCUCGUGGUAGGAAACAGACACUAAAAUAUCCAGGAAACUGGGUCACCCUGGCAGCAACUUACUCUCCGAUGGUCAAGGGCAAAACAGUUUUCCAUACUGUUCUUGCGACUUUGCUGUGUACGUCUGAGACUGUUAGAAAAUAACAGAGGGGGUGAGAGGGCUUCAGGAACCUAAGUUCUGAGCCACGGUGCCCAGAAGAGGCCUGGAGGAGAAACAGCCUGCCUUGAAGGGGGCCCGCUCCUCCGCCUCCUCAUCUCCUUCUCCUUUCACAGCAUCUCCAGCAAAUGAGAUGAGCAAUGGACCUUCAGAGAGGGCACGGCCCAGCCUGAGGUCUCAUGGCGAGGGGGGCAGCCAGGCACUAGCAGCUCCCUUCUUGUUUCUCUGCUUCCUCCUCAGGCUUUCUGAGGCCUCCCAGGGAAUCUGGGCGGCACCUGGUCCCGUGGGGCCAACACCAGACAGAGACUGGAGCCCUGAGUUCCAGUCUUCCCUCUGCCUCGAUUUGUGCAUCCACUUAGAUAAGUUUUUCUCCUCUCUAGGCCUCCAUCCCCCAUCUGGCCCAAGGGGACAACCCUCCCAUCCUCUGGAUAGUGGCUUUCUAUGGGGCUGGGGACUUGGGUUCAUCCAGUUCGGGCUCUGACCUGCUAGACGACCAGGGGUCAGGUCACUUGACCCCUCCACACUUGUUUCCUUCUUAGCACAUGGUAGGAUCACAGGUUGAAAGAUUCGCCAAUACCUCCGUUCCC
rnacentral:lncRNA from 1 species